rnacentral:rRNA from 1 species
CCUACGGUGGGCAGCAGUCGAGAAUCAUUCACAAUGGGGGAAACCCUGACGGUGCGACGCCGCGUGGGGGAAUGAAGGUCUUCGGAUUGUAAACCCCUGUCAUGUGGGAGCAAAUUAAAAAGAUAGUACCACAAGAGGAAGAGACGGCUAACUCUGUGCCAGCAGCCGCGGUAAUACAGAGGUCUCAAGCGUUGUUCGGAAUCACUGGGCGUAAAGCGUGCGUAGGCUGUUUCGUAAGUCGUGUGUGAAAGGCGCGGGCUCAACCCGCGGACGGCACAUGAUACUGCGAGACUAGAGUAAUGGAGGGGGAACCGGAAGUCUCGGUGUAGCAGUGAAAUGCGUAGAUAUCGAGAGGAACACUCGUGGCGAAGGCGGGUUCCUGGACAUUAACUGACGCUGAGGCACGAAGGCCAGGGGAGCGAAAGGGAUUAGAUACCCUAGUAGUC